rnacentral:sRNA from 1 species
CCCCCUUCUGACCUCUCGCCCGUCCACGCAAGCGCUCGCUUACCUUGAUGACAUCUACCUCUUCUCAAACGACGCGCAAGUCCUCAGCAAAACUACUCAAUUCCUCGCCGACAAGCAGCACAUCAUCAAGCUCAAUGAAAAGAAAUGCAAGCUAAUCAGCUUUGAUGAUAUCAGGCAGGAUGACUUCCAAGAUGCUCGGGACGAUGGCCGGAGGUAAGGAGAAACGGGCGGAGUUCCUGGAAGGUAGGAUUCGAAAGGAAUGGCAAAGGUGGGCAAGCUCAAGGAUCUUCCACGUCAACACGCACUCCUUCUAUUACGGUUCUGCGUUCAACAAAAUCUACGACAUCUACAGAGAAGCCUGCGCUUCGAUGACCUUGUAGAUCUAUGGGAAAGGCUGGACACGAUGCUGUGGGAGGAGGUGAAAAGGAUGAAAGGAUGAGGCAGAGAGAGGAUACGGAGGAAGAGGAGGCUCUAGGGAGAUCAUUGAAAAAGUUACCUGCGCGACUGGGCGGACUAGGUCUACUUUCUUUCAAGGAUGUAGCCCCCCUUGCCUGCCGCUCGGCUGCUGAGGCCUCAGACAUUCUCCUAGAUUCCUAGGCCUUCUUUCUUCGCCCGAGGAGCCUCCAACUCCGGUUCCCCAACGAGUCCGAUGCGCUGAACUUUGGGAACCGCAACAGGAAGUCAUUCUACAAAACCCCGGUGACACUGAGCGCAAGCGACUCACGGAGAAUGCCUCCAGACUCGGCCGAAUUUAGUUAUCAGUCAUUCCUUACUUCCAACCCCUGCGCUUAUCCAACAUUGAGAUUGCCUCUGGUGUUCAUGACCGUACCCUGGUCGGCUCCUCUAUCCCCACCUGUCGCGUCUGUGGGUCGGAUUCCCCUCUUGGUCAUGAUGAGCUAUGCCGAGCACGCAACCCCUGGACUCAGCGCCGACACAAUGCAAUCAACCAUGUCAUCUACCAACACCUCAACCAAAUCCAAGGUGCCACGGUCGAGUUUGAGCCGCACACGCUGUCAGGGCAAAGGAGAAACGACCUUCGGGUCAGAGGUUCCAGUGCACUAGCCUUCGCCGACUAUGACCUCAAGGUUUACUCCCUCGGUGACCGCGACGCGCGAAGCACAUUCCCCCCCUGCACCCCCAACAGCAAACUGGCCAACUUCUGCCUUGAUCGGUGUAUAAACUGGCUUGACAAAGUGGGACAGGUCGUUGCAAAGAAUGCUCCGAAGGUCCUUUUGGCGUGUUCAAUCCUAUCUACUGGCGGGCUGGUUAGUAAGAGUACGGCUGAUGAGUGGAAAGAUUGGAGGGAGAUGAUGCCAGCAGAUUCGUUUGAGAGGAUGGAGAAGAGGAUAAGUGUCGAGUUAGUUAAAGCGAGAGCUAGGACUCUUGUUUUAUAGUCGAAGAGGCGUUAGCAGUUGAGGAGUGGAGGUUGAGUGAUAUUUACAGCGGUUAUUUAGGUAGUGUUUAGUUCUGUUAGCAUACGCGACGACCCAAUAAGAUAAACAACACAAAUAUGCAACCUCUAUAACCCCCCC